AGAGUUUGAUCAUGGCUCAGGACGAACGCUGGCGGCGUGCUUAACACAUGCAAGUCGAGCGGUAAGGCCCCUUCGGGGGUACACGAGCGGCGAACGGGUGAGUAACACGUGAGCAACCUACCCUCAACUUUGGGAUAAGCCUCGGAAACGGGGUCUAAUACCGGAUAAUACUAGUCACCUCAUGGUGGUUGGUUGAAAGUUCUGGCGGUUGGGGAUGGGCUCGCGGCCUAUCAGCUUGUUGGUGGGGUAAUGGCCUACCAAGGCGUCGACGGGUAGCCGGCCUGAGAGGGCGACCGGCCACACUGGGACUGAGACACGGCCCAGACUCCUACGGGGGGCAGCAGUGGGGAAUAUUGCGCAAUGGACGAAAGUCUGACGCAGCAACGCCGCGUGAGGGAUGACGGCCUUCGGGUUGUAAACCUCUUUCAGCAGGGACGAAGCGAGAGUGACGGUACCUGCAGAAGAAGGACCGGCCAACUACGUGCCAGCCGCCGCGGUAAUAC
rnacentral:rRNA from 1 species